GGGCGUUUAGCGCAGUGGUAGCGCGCAUGCUUUGCACUCUUCGAAUUGCUUGCCUGAGGUCCAGGUUUCGAUCACCUAAACGUCCA